GGGAAUGUAGCUCAAUGGUAGAGCACUUGCCUGGCAUGCAUGAGGCCCUAGGUUCAAUCCCCAGUAUCACCA
rnacentral:tRNA from 1 species